rnacentral:misc_RNA from 1 species
GUAUGAGCACUAUACAGAAUACAGCAAGUGCUUGGAAAACACAUUGGUUGAAUUGCUUGGAAAGGAAAUGGCAACAAGCAUUGUCUUCAAGCACGCGAAUGAUGGUUCUGGCAUUGGCGCUGCACUCCUCGCGGCCUCCAACUCUGUGUAUGUUGAAGACAAGUGAGAGUGAUCAAAAUGAUAUUUAGCUAGAGGAAACUCCAUUUACCUUUU